rnacentral:rRNA from 1 species
AACGAACGCUGGCGGCGGGCUUAACACAUGCAAGUCGAACGGUUGUAGCAAUACAGCAGUGGCGCACGGGUGAGUAACGCGUGGAUAUCUGCCUUUUGGUUCGGAAUAACUCCGGGAAACUGGAGCUAAUACCGGAUGGUUCCUACGGGACAAAGAUUUAUCGCCAAAGAAUGAGUCAGCGUACGAUUAGCUAGUUGGCGGGGUAAUGGCCCACCAAGGUGAAGCUCGUUAGCUGGUCCGAGAGGACGAUCAGCCACACUGGGACUGAGACACGGCCCAGACGCCUACGGGAGGGAGCAUUGGGGAAUAUUGGACAAUGGGGGCAACCCUGAUCCAGCCAUGCCGCGUGAGUGAUGAAGGCCUUCGGGUUGUAAAGCUCUUUUGGCGGGGACGAUGAUGACGGUACCCGCAGAAUAAGCCCCGGCUAACUUCGUGCCAGCCGCCGCCGUAAAAC